GGUAGGAUGGCCGAGUGGUUAAGGCGCUGGUUUUAGGUCAUUGAUUCAAACACCAGUUGGAAACAGCGUGGGUUCAAAUCCCACUCCUAUCA